rnacentral:misc_RNA from 1 species
UUUCCGUAGGUGAACCUGCGGAAGGAUCAUUAUAGUAUAACCGAGGUGCGAGGGCUGUCGCGGACCCGAAAGGUCGUGCACGCCCGAGUGCCCUCACACACAGCCAUCUCACCCCGAGGUGGACCACCGCGCGGGACCCCCUUUAGCUUGUGCGGAGGGGGGCGUACGUUUUAACACUAACUUGGUAUGCAGUGGAGAAUGGAUUCUUUGUUUUUGAGAGCACGCAAUCAAUACAACGUUCAACAACGGAUCUCGUGGCUCUGGCGUGGAGGAAGAACG